rnacentral:lncRNA from 13 species
GCCAUUCCAUCUGCUGUGAUUUGAGUGUGUGCCCUGACGUUCACAUGCUGGAAGCUUCAUCCCCAGUGCAACAGUGUGGGGAGGUGAGGGCCUUAGGAGGUGUUAAACCAUGAGGGCUCUGCUCCAUGAAUGGACGAAGGCUGUUGCCACAGGAGGGGUUCCUCGGGAUUGGGCUGGGCUCCACCUCCUUCCCCUCUUUCUCUCUCUCCCAUGCUCACUUUCCACCUCGGGAUGAUGCGGCACAAAGGUCCUUGCCGGAUGCCGGCGCCUCGAUAUUGGACCUCCCAGUCUCCAGAACCGUGAGAAAUAAAUUUCUUUUCUUUAUAAAUUCCCCAGCCUGUGGUAGUUUUUCCACGGUAGCAGCACACACAGUCGAAGACACCACGCGAGGGGAGUUGGCUGUAUUUUACUGAAUGCCUGAGUCUUUAGGAUCAAGGUUACUCAGGAAGAGGUAAUGCAUUCCACAGUGGUGCAUUCAAGAGGAGAAAAGUCACUCCGUGGACAAGCAACGCCUGAAGGCAUUUUAAGGGCAGUGCAGCAUGAGGUAAUACAGAGGCUCUGAUAUAAACGUGCUCUGCAUCUUGGCCGUGGUCGCCGAGCGGAGUGAGGCUGGUGUCCAACACCUUGAGGGCUGCGUUUAUGGAAGGCCAGCUCCCACACGCUCACCACCAGGGCACAAGGUGUGCUCCCACCCGGCGCAGCAUCUCUGUAAACCUGGAUGUGCUACAGCUUCGUGCUUGGGAGACCCCUCUGGAGAGUGCAGCAGUACCUGACCGUGGCCCAGGAAGCAUCCAGGUACCAGCAGCUCCACGCAGCUGGGUAGGAGGAGUCCUGCCCUUGGUGCUCCGCAAACCCCUCAGAGACGAGGCUACUUGGAUUCUAGAGUUUUAUCUAACUGCUGAGCAGGCUGACACAAGGACUUUUCAACUUUUUGGUACGUCUGUUUUGUGCCCUAUUAACUAAUACUCAAUUUUAAUACAGUUGUAUUUGUUGGAAGAAAAUAGUCUUAGUAAAGGGACAGCUAUUAGGAGCAUUCUGAGUAUUACGCUG